UAAAGCUCUUUAAAAUGACUCCUUUGCUACAUGAGAUGCAAAUAUUUUUUUUUUAUACAAGUAUAUACUUUGACAUGAAAAUAUAAGUCUGCACUCCUUAUUACACACAACACGUAAUGUCAAAAACUCCACUGGGCUCAGAAAUAGGCACGUUUCUGGUGCCAGAGUUUUCUUUUUCUUUUUUCCUUCUUUAAGGCAAAAGCUAUUUUAGAACCGCUCAAGUUGUGCUUGUCAAGCUUGGCUCGAUAGACCUUUCAUCAGAGUUUCUCCGUGUCAGACGCGGCGACGCAAAGUCAGCCUCGGCAGCACUUAAAGCACACAAAGUUUACAGGGUUCAGCAGAAGCACUGAAAGGCGUGCGUAUAGCACAACUGGAUUUUACAUGAUUCAUUGUUGGGCUGCGUAAUCCAAAAUGUUCUACCUUCUGAGGGGGUGCAUUAUGGAAAAUUGACUAUUUAAUGUCUUGUAUACAAACAGAUCAGUCUGUCUCCCCACCCGUCAAGUGUGAAAUUAAACAGCCAAAUAAAUCUUUUAUUUCCCUAUUUCUGAAAAUCUGUCUCUGAGCGAGCCCUACUGGACUACUGCAACUUCAUUACAUAACGGAGCACCAAGGUGGACGGUUCCAUGAUCCAGAGCCACUUUCAAGCGACGAUCACACCACGCUGCCAGUGAAUGAUUUGUGUGUGGGGUCCACAAACACACACAACUGAGAAGACUCUCGCAUGUGGUUAUUGUCCAAAUGAUACUGUGGGGAAAUUCUGAAGAACCAAGUUAAGGAGUACAUGCAGAGUCACACACUGCGAGAUGAACAUCUAAGAAAACUGUCACCCCAGGUGGUGAACCCAUUGGAACAGAGACUUACAUCAUCUCUUCAGGCCCCACGAGUACAGGCCCGGCCAUUAGAUGCACACUAUCAACCCCCACCCCUAUCCAGGAAAUCGAAGUGCCCAGAGAAUAUCCACGCAGGCACGGGGGGAACAUGCAAACUCCACUCAAAGGGGGGCUGAGAUUUGAACCCCGCUACUCAGAACUGUGAGGCCAACGAUCUACACCUGCACCACCGUGCCGCCUCUAUUAGAAAUCAUCUCAUGUUCUUUAUG